AGGAAAUACAUUUAUACGGAAGUACAGGAAGAAAUGGACACGGAUCAGUCGAAAAGAAAUGUUUCUAAGCUGAGUGAGCUGUGACUUACAUUGAAAACAAGUUUCUCUGGGGAGAGAGAGAGAGAGAGGGAGACCACUGCCUCUAAAACGAGUCACAUCUGGGGAGAGAGAGAAAGAGACCACUGCCUCUAAAACGAGUCACAUCUGGGGAGAGAGAGAGGGAGACCACUGCCUCUAAAAUGAGUCUGUCUGGGGAGAGCGAGGAGAGAGGCACUGCCCCUAAGAGGAAGUAUUCUGAGAGUGAAGAGAGGGCCAAUGCCUCUAAAAAUAGUUUGCCUCAAGACACCAGUUCUACGAGAGACCAUGGUGGAGAGUGUUGUAUCAAGCCUGGACCUGAGGACACCAGAGACCAUGGUGG